rnacentral:lncRNA from 1 species
AAGCCCUUUACAUGCAGUGGAGCCGCCGUAUCUCGCCGUUCAAGAUAUGCGUACUCGUAAGUGGCAUUUUAAUUUCACGUUGUGUAAUGCAUGACUGUCUUUUUCAAGUGAACAAAGGUCGCUUUGUAUUGUGUAAAUGGUUUUGCAACGUAUGAUAAACUCCUUGUCUUUCGGGCUUAUUUUUUCUGACAGGAAGAAAAAAAAAAGAGGCUUUACAUGAGAACGGAUCAAGCGUUCGAGAGUUGGGACAGGGAAAUGUGAGACGUACUUUCAUGUAUAUAUUUCUAAUAUUAUUUUUUCGUCUUGUAUUCUCGUUAAUUUUUCUCUAGGAAACACUGCAACGACACUGCUUAAAUUGAAGCACAGUGUGCGAAUGACCUGCUACGCUCGGAACUGUUAUCACCAUUCGGGAAGAAAUUGGAUGAAAAAACAUAACUGUAAAUACCUGUAUGAUAUACGUCUGGUGCAUUGCAGGUAAGAAUGGAUUGUGUGUGGCGCGCUUCACCGCAUGUGGACUAUAGUAGAUCUAAGAACAUCAGACAAGAAGACACGUAUGUGAAACCCUGCGGAUAGCCCAUAUGUAAGUUCUUCCUCAAUUUUUCUUUUGUUGCAUUUUCGUAGUUUACGUGUAAUACUUUGUCACCGCGGUCUCGACGUUAUGUAUACCUAUACAUUUGUCUCGUGGCAGUCUGCGUGCUAUUUUGUUUGUGCAACUAUGUGUUGUAUUCAUUUAUCGCGCUGCCUGGAUGGUUUUUUUUUUUUCACUGAUAUUCCGACCAAAGUCGGUAAACCUAUCCUUCCUGUCCUCAUGUUUCCUUGGGCGGCUCUAAAACGUAUCUUAGAGGAAUAUUUAGCUUCAGAUUCCCGCAUGGAACAGAUGGUGAACUUUUUUUCCAGAUACGGAGGAACGGACACCGGUCGUGCCGUGAGCACUAUUCUGCAGGGCAUACUUACAAAUGAAGCUGCACUGCAGUUCAGCUGGAAAGGGUCGCAGGGGAGGAAGCACGCCUUCGUGAAGCUCAUGGCCAUCACGAAUAUAACAUCUGUGAGGAGCACGUUCCCUGACGCUUCACUAGCAUCAGUGGCUGGAGUCGCAAAACGCUGGUUGGUUGGAGCAGCUGACAGGGAUGGAGGCCGGAAUGAAAGGCGCCGUGACCCUGCUUCAAGCCCACCAAAUAUGAACUAGUGUUUGAAACUUGUGAACGUGUCGGUGUACAUAUACAAUUACAAGAAAUAAAGACCUGUAUCAGAAUCUUUUGCCUGGCAUUUAUGUGGCAUGAAAAGUACAAAAAAGCGUUCGCUUUCGUGUGGUACUUCUAUGCCGGCCACCACACAAG